rnacentral:rRNA from 1 species
AUUGAACGCUGGCGGCAGGCCUAACACAUGCAAGUCGAGCGCGCGGCGGACGGGUGAGUAAUGUCUGGGAAACUCCCUGAUGGAGGGGGAUAACUCCUGGAAACGGUAGCUAAUACCGCAUACCAUCAGAUGUGCCCAGAUGGGAUUAGCUAGAAGGUGGGGUAACGGCCCACCUAGGCGACGCCCCCCAGAUGGUCUGAGAGGAUGACCAGCCACACUGGAACGGGGACACGGUCCAGAGUCCUACGGAAGGCAGCAGUGGGGAAUAUUGCACAAUGGGCGCAAGCCUGAUGCAGCCAUGCCGCGUGUGUGAAGAAGGCCUUCGGGUUGUAAAGCACUUUCAGCGGGGAGGCGUUACCCGCAGAAGAAGCACCGGCUAACUCCGUGCCAGCAGCCGCGGUAAUAC